CCAGACUCCUACGGGAGGCAGCAGUGGGGGAUAUUGCACAAUGGGGGAAACCCUGAUGCAGCGACGCCGCGUGGGUGAAGAAGCGCCUCGGCGCGUAAAGCCCUGUCAGCAGGGAAGAAAAUGACGGUACCUGACUAAGAAGCCCCGGCUAACUACGUGCUAGCAGCCGCGGUAAUACGUAGGGGGCAAGCGUUAUCCGGAUUUACUGGGUGUAAAGGGAGCGUAGACGGCAUGGCAAGUCUGAUGUGAAAACCCGGGGCUCAACCCCGGGACUGCAUUGGAAACUGUCAGGCUAGAGUGUCGGAGAGGCAAGUGGAAUUCCUAGUGUAGCGGUGAAAUGCGUAGAUAUUAGAAGGAACACCAGUGGCGAAGGCGGCUUGCUGGACGAUGACUGACGUUGAGGCUCGAAAGCGUGGGGAGCAAACAGGAUUAGAUACCCGUGUAC
rnacentral:rRNA from 1 species